rnacentral:rRNA from 1 species
AUGUAAUGUAAUUCCUAUAGUGCUAAUUCACCGGAUCCCAUUAGAAAUCCACAGUUAAGUUCCCUUGGGCUAGAGUAGCACUGGGAUGGGUGACAUCAGGAAGGAAGUCUUAAUGUUUUACUUG